UAUCAAGCGUUCUGUUGUCCCAAACUAUACACAAUAUAGCUGCGAAAAUCCGCGACUAAUCACGACUAAUGAAGGGCGAGAACACCAAAACAUAGCACGCGGAGGCGAGCACGCAAAGUAGGAAAGAAAGCAUGAGCGCUUUGACGUCACGAGAUGGCGGACGGUAAUCCUUAUUUGGAAGUAACCGGAAGAGAAUGCUAACAAAAUGGCGGAUGUUCAAUUCUGGCGAGUUCUCUUAGUUUUCUAUUUGAUUUGCACUGAAAUACGAACUUUUUUCAAUCGAUUCUUUGUAAUUUACGUUCUUUCUACAAUUUCAGAUCAUUUCAAAAAUUAUACCCUGUAGCCUUCCGUUCUCCUUUAAUUUUCCUGAAUUGCAAACAAGUACAUUUCGCUUGGUCGCUUUUCAACGAUAGGGCAACGAGAGAAUGCUAACCAGAAAGGAAUAGACCGAAACUGGUACUGUCAGAGUUUCCCUCGCUCCACGAGUACGCUAAGAGUGUUCGGAGGCUGUUUCACACGAGUUAUACUGUGUGAGCUCAGAGUGAUUAAGUACAAACAGAGAAAUGCAACGCGAAGGAACAUUUAAAGAGUUCUUCGAUUUCCUAACCGAAACAUAUGAGAAGCAUAAGAGAAAGCCACAAAAUUUAGAGAAAGAACUGAGAAAGGUUAUCAAGAGGGGAAAAGAAAUGUUACAAGAAUUACAAAGGCGAGACAGUCCAAAGAGAGAAGAGCAAGAGUUGCAUAAAGAUUGGCAGCAACGUUCAGACAUCGUGAAAAACAAGGGUGAAGAAUGUGGAACAACUGCGCUCGACGAGAGGUAUUUUUAUUUUUUUUUUGACCACGUAUAAAAUUACCUUCAAAUUGAAGGAGAGAAACGUACCAUUGUAUUUUCUGGUGCUUCAUAUUCAUGUUGUUAUUUAGUAGUCACAUAUUCUAUGUAAGUUCGCUUAUAUAUCAGACCGACUAGCGGUUUAUUUGUAUUUACAACUGAAGAUGGAUGGUGGUUAUCCGAAACAUGUUUAUUUGCAAACUUAAAACUGUGUUUUUUAUCGCAAAGUAAUUGAUUGUUUUUUGAAUAUUGAACUCGCUAGUCGAUCCAAGAGUGCAAUACUGAAUUGAUUAUUUGAAUAUUGAACUCGCUAGUCGGUCCAAGAGUGCAAUACUGAAUUGAUUAUUUGAAUAUUGAACGCGCUAGUCGUUCCAAGAAUGCAAUUAUGGAUUUAUUAUUUGAAUAUUGAACUCGCUAGUUGUUUCAAGAAUUUACGGCUAACGGGUUCAAUAUUCAAAUGUUCAAUUUAAAAUUGUACUUAGUGAAACGACUAGCCGGUUUAUUAUUUAAAACAUCAAUUCAUUAUUGCAUUCUUGAAACGAAAAGCG